rnacentral:lncRNA from 1 species
CACAUGGUCAUUUAUUUGGCGGUGGGGGAAGGGGAUGUUCCGUUUCAUUUUACACAUAUUUUAAGUAAUUUUUAAAUGGUCUUGUAUCAAAAAUACACUAGUAUUUAAUUUAUGUGAAUACAGCAUAUUGACUCUGAAAUCCAGAGGGAAAUCUUAAGUUCUAGUUAUGUAAUGAUAUUCUCCUAAGGCUCCCAAAGUAUAAAAUUUUAUAGCUAAAAAGAAAUACUUUGCAAUCAGUGAACACUCAUUCCGAUUCAUUGGUAUCAAUAUAGAUAGCACGCAACAAAGUACAAAUUACUAGUAGAUGAAACCCAAUGCCAUGCAAGUUGUAUUCUAAACACAAAUCAUCAGGGAAAUGCAAAUCAAAACCAUCAAGUACCACCUCACAUCCACUGAUACCACUUCACAUUAAACACCACCUCACAUCCAUUGAUGGCUACUUUCAAUAUGAAAUAAUAAGUGUCAGCCAGGAUGUGGAGAAAUUAGAACCCUUGUGCAUGUUGGUGGGAACGUAAAAUGGUGCAGCCACUGUGAAAAACAAGAUUGCGAUUACUCAAAAACUUAAAUAUAGAACUACCAUAUAAUCCAGCAAUUCCACUUCUGGGUAUACACCCGAAAAAAGUGAAAACAACAACUCGAACAGCUAUCUGUACACCCAUGUUCAUAGCAGCAUUAUUCUCAAUAACAAAAAGGUGGAAGGAACCCAGGUGUCCAUUGAUAAUGGAUAAGCAAGAUACACACCAUGGAAUAUUACUCAACCUUGAAAAGGAAAGAAAUUCUGACACAUGGUACGAUAUGGAUAAACCUUGAGAUCAAUAGGCUGGGUGAAGCAAGCCAGUCCCCGAAAGACAACUAUUGUAUGAUUCUACUUAAAUGAGGUACCUAGAAGAGCCAAAUUCAGAGAAAGUAGAAUGGUGAUUGCCAGGGGCUGGGGGAAGAGGGAAUGGGGAAUUUAGCAAAAUGAAAAGAGUAAAAAUGGAUGGUAGUGAUCAUUGCAUGAUAUGAAUAUACUAAAAGCCACUGAACUGAACUCCUAAAAAUGGUUAACAUGAUAAAUUUCAUGUGAUUUUAUAAUUUAAAAACUUGGAAGAUAAACAAUGGUACUGUGUCACCAAACACUAACAAUCUUAAAAGUAAGCAACUAGGGAGUUCCUGUUGUGGCUUAGUGGGUUAAGAACCCUACUAGUGCCUGUGAGAACACCGGUUUGAUCCCUGGCCUUGCCCUGUGGGAUAAGGAUUCAGUGUUGCCGGAAGCUGCAGCAUAGGUUUCAGCAUAGGAUCCAGCAUGGUCGUGGCUGUGGCGCAGGCCUGUAGCUGCAACUCUGAUUCGACCCCUGGCCUGGGAACAUCCAUAUGCUGCAGGUUCGGCCCUAAAAAGAGAAAAAAUUAGUAACUAGUAAAUAAAUAAAUAAAAGUGAGCAACUAAAUGGGAUAUGAUCGCUGAACUGGCUCCUAGAAUAGAAGAAAAGUCAUUAAUGGAAAAACGCGCAAAAUGGCAGUAAUCUUUAAUUGACGUAACAGUAAUGUACCAAUGUUAAUUUCUUAGUUUAGACAAACAGUGCCAUAGCUAUGUAAGAUCACACUGGGGGGUAAAGGGUGUGCAGGAACUCUCUGCCUGAUCUUUGCAAGUUUUCUCCAAAUCCAACAGUAUCCCAAAAUAAAAGUUUGUUUUAAAAUCAAUUUUUUUAAAGUGACAACAAAAAAAUCAACUCCUACGUAAGACAAAGACACCACAAAUACAUCAGACUUGACAAAGUAAGCAGCAAAACACAAACAUCUAUACCGAUAGCUACAGUAAAUGUGAAACUGUUUUAUCAUACUGUUCACUGUGCCUAGCUAUUACCUCAUCAUCCGCUAAUUGCUAAAGGGUAGGCUGUUGAAUUUUAUGUUGCAAUUCUUUCUUUCCUUAAUGACUCGGGGUGCAUUCUUUCACUUAGACCUUAGCAUGGAACAGUGUGAACCUCCUCCUACCAAUUCAUGAUUUUGUAUCUUUUUUUUAAUGUGUUUUUUAAACAUUUUAUUAGAGUUUGGUUGAUUUACAAUGGUGUCAAUUUCUGCUGUACAGCAAGGUGACCCAAUCAUACGUGUAUAUAUAUCUUCCAUUAGUAAUCUUACAUUAUCUUCCAUCAUGGUCUAUCCCAAGAGAUUUUUAUAUCUUUGAUGAGUUGUGACUUCUCAAGCAUCCUGGUUGGUUCAAGUCAGUUAGGAGCCCAUUUCUUUUCUGUUCAAGGUCAACUACAUAAAAACUGAUGUGACAUUGAGAAGGACAGAAAAUACAGCCUCCCUUCACUACGCUGCACCAGGGAGAAAUGACUAAGGCUAUUGUGUCUUCUUGCUUUCCCUUCCCUGAACUCAGUGGUCUAAACACUCAAGGGGCUUCCAGGUGCAGGUGCAAUGCGCUUCGACGCACAGGUGCAGCUUGCAUUUCCUUUCUCUGUGACCUUUAAGGUCAACUGGUUAGGUUGCUUUGACCACAAAUAGAGCUUUUGGUAAUUCCUCCAGCACAACCCUAACUUGAUAUGAAGCACUUACACAAGGAAUGGUGCAGACAAGAAGGCAGUUUAUUGUACGAUGGGGACGGGGGGAAAAAAAACAACCCACAAUUCCAUUUAGGGGAAGAAAAAAAAAAAGCAAGAAAAAAAAAAA